rnacentral:rRNA from 1 species
UACGUAGGUGGCAAGCGUUGUCCGGAAUUAUUGGGCGUAAAGCGCGCGCAGGCGGCCUCUUAAGUCUGAUGUGAAAGCCCCCGGCUCAACCGGGGAGGGCCAUUGGAAACUGGGAGGCUUGAGUAUAGGAGAGAAGAGUGGAAUUCCACGUGUAGCGGUGAAAUGCGUAGGAGAUGUGGAGGAACACCAGUGGCGAAGGCGACUCUUUGGCCUAUAACUGACGCUGAGGCGCGAAAGCGUGGGGAGCAAACAGG